GGGGGUCGUGUGAUGAUUCGAAGCAUAGUUCAAAUGAUUCAUUUGUGAUUAUAACUUGUAUUAGUCUUUCGCUCCUAUCUGAUGACUCCU